AUUUCCUCAUUUUAGUAAGACCAUCAGGCCUUUUUGUAACCUUUGUCACAAGUCUUAAGUUACAAGUAUUUUGUAGGUAUGUGUUUUGUGCCCUGUUUCAAGUUAAGUGCCAAGUUCAAGAGGAUCAUGACAGUUGGUUUGCUGUUGAAUUUCUUCUCAGAGCUGGAUGGUCUUUCAACAACACUGCUCCGGGUCUUCAGCAAGAAAGGUGCUUCUCAUGCAAGGAAGAUACAGAGGAUCCUGGUGCCCAUGACUCAGACUGACAACAUUGAUGUGAAGAGGGAGUGCAUGCUGAGGAGCUGACGGUCUACCUGAAUGAAGAGCCAGACAAAGUGGAUGUUGAUCUGGACGGUCCAGCUGAAACGUAUUGUCUUCGUGUGCGUGUGAUCGGCAGAGAGUCCUCAACGACAUUGGUAACGUACCUGUGGCCAUUGCAGUGUUU